CCCUGACAGGUCAGUUGGUAAAGACUCCGCCUGCAAUGCAGGAGACCCUGGUUCAAUUCCUGGGUUGGGGA
rnacentral:tRNA from 1 species